rnacentral:lncRNA from 1 species
GAUGAAGCAGUUUUUUCAUACUUUAAACAAACAAGUAAUAAUUCCGACCAAAAUGAAGGUAGUGAUUUAAGUGCUGAACAGAGAAAAUUCAGUAAAAUUCUGCUCUCAGAGGCCUCAUGGACUAGUUGUGUCGAUAGGCAAUUUCAACAUGAGAUCAUUGGAGAGGAAUAUAUCAUGUUCACUGGAAGAAGGCAAAAGAAUGUAACGACUGGAGGAAGCUUAGCAGGCAUUCAACGUUGUAUAAACUGAUUCUCUAAGCUUUUUGGAGGAGGGUUUCUGAAUGCACGGCAUUGCUUCAACAAAGGUCAACACAUGAGGACCACAUCGGUGGUAUACCUUGUCCUCCAGAUUCCAAUUGGGUUUUGCAAAUGGCGGAAAGGAGAAGAAUGAGGCUCUAAAGGAGAAGCUGUUUCCUUGCUGUUUUCAGCUUUGAGAGGCUGCCUGCAUUCUUCCGCCGUGACUCCUCCUUCCAUCUUGAAACCCAGCAGCAUAGCAUCUACAAAUCUCUCUCACCUCUGAUUCCAAGGGAUAAGGAUAUCACCUACCUUGUUGGGUUGCUGAGAUAACUGGAUGAGUUAACGUACAACAGUGCCUGGAAUGUAGUGAGCACGGAAUAACAGAGGAGAUUUUUACCCUCCUAUUGCAAGAAGUUUAAUCUUCAUACAAGGUGAUGGGUUGAUACAUAAAUUGAGAGUGAAGUCAAGAUCUCCUCACUUCCUGAGAGGUAUUAAGUUUCUGGCUAGACUUUGACUGGAGCUGUGUCUACCACAGACCACGCCUCCAAAUGUUGCUGCUGACCAAGUCCCCAAAUGAAAAGGAAACCUCAAUGGUGUGAUUCACCCUUCCCAUCAUGCUCUGCUUGAGUUGAAUGACCUGACAUUAUCCACCUUUCCCUGAAUGAUGCAGAAAUCCAUAAGAUCCUGUAUCUAGGACUUUUCCAAGGCACCAUGGCCCAAAUCCCAAGUACCGGGUUGGAUCUCAAUGUUUGCCCACCAUCCAUAUUCCAACCUCCUAGUUAUCAAAGGAAGAAGAAAUAGGAAAAGAAUGUCAAAGACCAUGGAAAAUCUAAACAUCAAGUGAAUUUUAAAAGGCUAAGCCCAUCAAAGGACACAAUCAACAGAGGCAAGAACCAUUCAUAUAACAAUUCAUUCAGCCAUUAUCUGGUGAGCAUCCAUCAUGUGCCAGGUGAUAUAGUAAACACCAGAACUACAGGGAAGACCAGGUGCAGUCCCCACCUGCAAAGAUCUGAAGAUCAAGUGGAGAAGACGAGAAGUAAGCUUGAUCCGUGUCUUCCCCAAGAGGCAGCAAGGAGAAGCAGCCAAGGGAAGCAGGAGAGGCUCAGUAUCCUCUUUUGGAUGCUGCCCCUAAGAACAAACCCCUCCCACGUUUUCUACCUUACGCAGAAGAAAAUCUGAGCAACACAGUCUCAUGUGUUUCCUGUGUAUCCCAUAGGGGUAUGGUCCAGUCUCUCUCUCUCUGGAAAAGGCUACAUUUUUCUCUUAGAUUAAAGUCGCCACUUCGGAAACCCAUUUUAUUUUUGAGGACGAUUAGCCCUGAGCUAACAUCUGCCACAAAUCCUCCUCUUUUUGCAGAGGAAGAUUGGCUCUGAGCUAACAUCUGUGCUCAUCUUUGUCUAUUUAAUAUGUGGGAUGCAUGCCACAGCAUGGCUUUGUAAGGGAUGCGUAGGUCCGCAACCGGGAUAUGAACCAGUGAACCCUGGGCUGCUGAAACAGACUGCUCGAAUUUAACCACUAUGCCACCGGACUGGCCCCUGGAAAACCUUUUGAAAUUCCCUACUUUUAAAACUACACACAUGUCUAGCCUAUGACCUUGUAUUUCCAUUCCAUAGAUAAAUGGGUAUCUUUGUCUACCAAAUGAGAAGAAUAAGAAUUUCAUAGAAGUCUUAUUCAUAAUAGCUAAAAACUAGAACCCAAACAUCUGUCUACAGUAGAAUGGAUAAAUUGCAGAAUAUUAAUAAAGGGGAAUUCCAUGCAACAAUAAAAGAGAAUAUCUGCCAUAAGCAACAGCACAGUUGGACCUCACAGACAUAGUAACGAACGAGUGAAAGAAGCUAGCCACAGAAGAGUACACACACUGUAUGAUUCAAUUAUGUGAAAUUCAGGAACAGGAGAAACUCAACUGCGGUGGCAAAAAGCAGAAUAUUGGUUACCUGAUUUGGGGGGUCAGGCAGGGCCAGUAGGUAAGAACUUAGGAAGGGGCACAAAGGAUCCCUCUGGGGUGUUGAAAAUAUUCCAUAUAUAUGUAAAAAUCCAUUGAUUUCUGCACUUAAGAUUUGUGUAUGGAUCUACACUUCAAUAAACCUUUUUUAUAAAUGAUCAUUGACUCUUUCCUCCCAACAGCUGGAAAUUGCUAGAAUUAUGUAUACGGUGGUGUUUCAGUCUACUGCUCUUUCCCUUAGCAGCCACCCACUUUGGGUUCUCCAUGUUUUUUUCAUAAGGGAGUCCCUCUUAGGAAAGCCGGUAUUUUGACCACAACAAAAUAUUUUGAAGUAAGAAUUGAAACACAAAUUUACAGAAACAUUUUAACAAAAAACCGUUUUCAUUAUACAUGCAAAUUCAGGACAGAUGUGGUCAGAGGAAUAACCCAAGUCCACCCACCACUAGAAGAAAAGUAAAACUUAAUAAGAAUUUUUGAAAUAUUGUAAUGAUUUUCUCCCUGGCUUCUAGUCAAGACUGCAACAGAAAUUCAGAAAUGCCACCAGAAAGGCCUCUCCGGGUACAUGUGACUAGAAUUCUCAGACAGUACUGAGUGGCUGGGGAAACCUCACAGAGCUUUGA